GAUGAACGCUGGCGGCGUGCCUAAUACAUGCAAGUCGAGCGAACGGACGAGAAGCUUGCUUCUCUGAUGUUAGCGGCGGACGGGUGAGUAACACGUGGAUAACCUACCUAUAAGACUGGGAUAACUUCGGGAAACCGGAGCUAAUACCGGAUAAUAUUUUGAACCGCAUGGUUCAAAAGUGAAAGACGGUCUUGCUGUCACUUAUAGAUGGAUCCGCGCUGCAUUAGCUAGUUGGUAAGGUAACGGCUUACCAAGGCAACGAUGCAUAGCCGACCUGAGAGGGUGAUCGGCCACACUGGAACUGAGACACGGUCCAGACUCCUACGGGAGGCAGCAGUAGGGAAUCUUCCGCAAUGGGCGAAAGCCUGACGGAGCAACGCCGCGUGAGUGAUGAAGGUCUUCGGAUCGUAAAACUCUGUUAUUAGGGAAGAACAUAUGUGUAAGUAACUGUGCACAUCUUGACGGUACCUAAUCAGAAAGCCACGGCUAACUACGUGCCAGCAGCCGCGGUAAUACGUAGGUGGCAAGCGUUAUCCGGAAUAUUGGGCGUAAAGCGCGCGUAGCGGUUUUUUAGUCUGAUGUGAAAGCCCACGGCUCAACCGUGGAGGGUCAUUGGAAACUGGAAAACUUGAGUGCAGAAGAGGAAAGUGGAAUUCCAUGUGUAGCGGUGAAAUGCGCAGAGAUAUGGAGGAACACCAGUGGCGAAGGCGACUUUCUGGUCUGUAACUGACGCUGAUGUGCGAAAGCGUGGGGAUCAAACAGGAUUAGAUACCCUGGUAGUCCACGCCGUAAACGAUGAGUGCUAAGUGUUAGGGGGUUUCCGCCCCUUAGUGCUGCAGCUAACGCAUUAAGCACUCCGCCUGGGGAGUACGACCGCAAGGUUGAAACUCAAAGGAAUUGACGGGGACCCGCACAAGCGGUGGAGCAUGUGGUUUAAUUCGAAGCAACGCGAAGAACCUUACCAAAUCUUGACAUCCUUUGACAACUCUAGAGAUAGAGCCUUCCCCUUCGGGGGACAAAGUGACAGGUGGUGCAUGGUUGUCGUCAGCUCGUGUCGUGAGAUGUUGGGUUAAGUCCCGCAACGAGCGCAACCCUUAAGCUUAGUUGCCAUCAUUAAGUUGGGCACUCUAAGUUGACUGCCGGUGACAAACCGGAGGAAGGUGGGGAUGACGUCAAAUCAUCAUGCCCCUUAUGAUUUGGGCUACACACGUGCUACAAUGGACAAUACAAAGGGCAGCGAAACCGCGAGGUCAAGCAAAUCCCAUAAAGUUGUUCUCAGUUCGGAUUGUAGUCUGCAACUCGACUACAUGAAGCUGGAAUCGCUAGUAAUCGUAGAUCAGCAUGCUACGGUGAAUACGUUCCCGGGUCU
rnacentral:rRNA from 1 species